UGUGUGUUUGUUGGGGGUAGUAUAGUCAUUGAAGCAUUUGUGGAAACCCAUGUAUAGUGAAUUUCUCUCUCUAUCUUGCAUGACAAUGUUAGAGAGGUUAGGAAACUUUGGAAUCUAACUCUAGCCCCUCAUAAAGUUUUCUACCUCAAAGACUGCAAUACCGUGAUAGAAAAAGCAUUGAAGAAAUAUAUAAACUUGUUUUGAUUUCCCAAAAAAAUGGCUAAACCGUGCAUUCCGUUUAGCACCUCACAUAUCUUUUCUAAAGAAUUACAAUUUAUAUAUGGUGAAAUGUAAAAGAUAGAAUUUCGACUUGUAUAGCACAUGUAAUGUAUCAUUGCAUAAUUAUAUACUAAGAACUUAUUUAUGUAAGUAAUUUUUUCGCUCACUUGCUGACGUAUCAAGAUAGUAGUACUUAAGAUAGGGAUAGAAAUAUAGAGAUACCAAUGAUACACAUAAC
rnacentral:lncRNA from 1 species